AAAAUUGCCCAGGUUACCUUUUCUGGAGCUGAGCUACCUUCUCAGGGGAGAGGUGCUGAUAAAUACAUAUUUGAAAAGCAUUUAAAAGUGCUUUUUGCAACUGCAGGGCCCUUUAAGUCUUGAAUGGUUGCUAAUUACUGUUUUCCCCAGGCUCCUAAUUUCUCCAGGUGCCAGAGACCUGUGAGAUUAAAUGAAACCUUAGUAAAUACCCUGAAUGCUGCGUUUGUAAUGUGGAUAAUUAACUGUGGUAUUUCAAGUUGGGAAAUCUGAGGCCAUAAAACAUAAAUUGGAAUCCUCCGUCCUGGCCCCCGCUCUCCCUGUGGAGCUCUUAUUUAUAAGAGAUGGAAGUAGCAGCGUUUCUUGAGAAUACGCCCAGAGAUCUGGGGCUGGGCAAACGUUUGCAAGCCUGAGAAAUGAGACAGUGUCGCAGGUUACAGUCCUGGAGCAUGUCUCUUCCCCUCGCGUCUCGUGGUGUUGGGCUCUGUCCCUCGUGCUUCUGGCGUGCCCCUGGCGAGCCCAGCUGGUCCAGGAGCAGGGGCCCGAUGCUCGUGUGAGCUGUGUGCUCGAGCAGUCCCCACUGCAAGCUGAACGGUGAGGCAGGGCUGGGACACGAGGCAGUGCGGAGAAGCCAAGUGCCCGGAGCCUCAGCAGGGAUGCUCGAGCAGUCCCCACUGCAAGCUGAACGGUGAGGCAGGGCUGGGACACGAGGCAGUGCGGAGAAGCCAAGUGCCCGGAGCCUCAGGAGGGAUGAGAAGCCCGACAGUCAGCAGGAGGGCAGUUCUGCUGAGUUCCCACUGCCCCGCUGUCGGCCCGCAGAAGACCCCAGUGCUGUCUGGUGUCUCCGGGUCUCAUUAACGCAUGAGCAUCUUUUCAUGUGUUUGUUAGCCAUCUGUAUGUCUUCCUUGGAGAAAUGUCUGUUUAGGUCUUUUCCCCACUUAUUGAUUGGGUUGUUUUCCUGGUAUUGAGUUGUAUGAGCUGCCUGUAUAAUUUGGAAAUUAAUCUUUUGUCAGUUGUUUCAUUUGCUAUUAUUUUCUUCCAUUCUGAGGGUUGUCUUUUUACCUUGCUUAUAGUUUCCUUUGCUGUGCAAAAGCCUUUAAGUUUAAUCAGGUCCCACUUGUUUACUUUUGUUUUUAUUUCCUUCAAUAA
ensembl:lncRNA